rnacentral:misc_RNA from 1 species
GUCAUUUUAUUUCUUUAUAUAGAAAAUAAUCACUAAAGUACAAAAAAGCAGAGGUCCUCUUCUCUAUAAAACCCAAAAUAGAGAGAACCUCCCAGUUCACAAGAUAUUCAACCAGUUCCUAAAAGAAACCAGCCUACUAAAAUUAUUAAUGAUCCUUCCGCAGGUUCACCUACGGAAA